rnacentral:rRNA from 1 species
UUUGCAUAUCCAAAAAGCGGAGGAAAAGAAACCAACAGGGAUUGCCUCAGUAGCGGCGAGUGAAGCGGCAAGAGCUCAGAUUUGAAAUCGUGCUUUGCGGCACGAGUUGUAGAUUGCAGGUUGGAGUCUGUGUGGAAGGCGGUGUCCAAGUCCCUUGGAACAGGGCGCCCAGGAGGGUGAGAGCCCCGUGGGAUGCCGGCGGAAGCAGUGAGGCCCUUCUGACGAGUCGAGUUGUUUGGGAAUGCAGCUCCAAGCGGGUGGUAAAUUCCAUCUAAGGCUAAAUACUGGCGAGAGACCGAUAGCGAACAAGUACUGUGAAGGAAAGAUGAAAAGCACUUUGAAAAGAGAGUGAAACAGCACGUGAAAUUGUUGAAAGGGAAGGGUAUUGCGCCCGACAUGGGGAUUGCGCACCGCUGCCUCUCGUGGGCGGCGCUCUGGGCUUUCCCUGGGCCAGCAUCGGUUCUUGCUGCAGGAGAAGGGGUUCUGGAACGUGGCUCUUCGGAGUGUUAUAGCCAGGGCCAGAUGCUGCGUGCGGGGACCGAGGACUGCGGCCGUGUAGGUCACGGAUGCUGGCAGAACGGCGCAACACCGCCCGUCUUGAAACACGGGACCAAA